GACGAACGCUGGCGGCGUGCAUAACACAUUCAAGUCGAACGGAGUUAUGAGGUGCUUGCACCGAGUAACUUAGUGGCGGACGGGUGAGUAAUGCAUGAGCAACCUGCCUCGAAGAGUGGAAUAACACAUGGAAACGUGUGCUAAUAUCGCAUAAUGUGUACGGGAGGCAUCUCCUGUACAAGAAAGGGGAAACCCGCUUUGAGAUGGGCGCAUGUCUGAUUAGGUAGUUGGUGAGGUAACGGCCCACCAAGCCUACGAUCAGUAGCCGGACUGAGAGGUGGAACGGCCACAUUGGGACUGAGAUACGGCCCAGACUCCUACGGGAGGCAGCAGGGGGGAAUAUUGGACAAUGGGCGAAAGCCUGAUCCAGCGACGCCGCGUGAAGGAAGACGGUCUUCGGAUUGUAAACUUUAGUGAGCAGGGACGAUAGUGACGGUACCUGCAUAGCAAGCCACGGCUAACUACGUGCCAGCAGCCGCCGUAAAAC
rnacentral:rRNA from 1 species